AAACUAACAAGGAUUCCCCUAGUAACGGCGAGUGAAGCGGGAAGAGCUCAAAUUUGAAAUCUGGCAGUCUUCGAUUGUCCGAGUUGUAAUCUAUAGAGGCGUUUUCCGUGCCGGACCGUGUCCAAGUCUCCUGGAAAGGAGUAUCAAAGAGGGUGAUAAUCCCGUACUUAACACGACCACCGGUGCUCUGUGAUACGUCUUCUACGAGUCGAGUUGUUUGGGAAUGCAGCUCAAAAUGGGUGGUGAAUUCCAUCUAAAGCUAAAUAUUGGCGAGAGACCGAUAGCGAACAAGUACCGUGAGGGAAAGAUGAAAAGCACUUUGGAAAGAGAGUUAAACAGUACGUGAAAUUGUUGAAAGGGAAACGAUUGAAGUCAGUCGUGUUCUUUGGAUUCAGCCAGUUCUGCUGGUCUACUUCCUUUGAACGGGUCAACAUCAGUUUUGUCCGGUGGAUAAAGGUAGUAGGAAUGUGACUUCCCCGGAAGUGUUAUAGCCUAUUAUCACAUACACUGGGUGAGACUGAGGACUGCAGCUCGCCUUUAUGGCCGACCUUCGGGUACGUUCGAGCUUAGGAUGUUGACAUAAUGGCUUUAAACGACCC
rnacentral:rRNA from 1 species